AACGCACGAGACCUGCGGACCUGCGGAAGGAUCAUUAACAAAUUCAAAUCUCACAUGUUUCCCUCGGACGAAGGCGCAAGCCUUCCAUGAGGUGUUACACAAACAUACACACUUUUGAUGGACGAAACACCAAUUGAUACCAAUCAAGGUUAAUUGUAGACAACUUUCAGCAACGGAUCUCU
rnacentral:misc_RNA from 1 species